UACAGAGGGUGCAAGCGUUGUUCGGAAUUAUUGGGCGUAAAGGGCGCGUAGGCGGUGCGGUAAGUCUGCAGUGAAAUCUCUGGGCUCAACUCAGAGUCUGCUGUGGAAACUGCCGUGCUUGAGUGUGGGAGAGGUGAGUGGAAUUCCCGGUGUAGCGGUGAAAUGCGUAGAUAUCAAGAGGAACACCUGAGGUGAAGACGGGUUGCUGGGCCAACACUGACGCUGAUGCGCGAAAGCCAGGGGAGCAAACGGG
rnacentral:rRNA from 1 species